rnacentral:rRNA from 1 species
UGCGUAGGCGGUUUGGUAAGUCAUUUGUGAAAGCCCUCGGCUCAACCGGGGAAUUGCAGGUGAUACUGCCAGACUUGAGGGUGCGAGGGGUGAGCGGAAUUCCAGGUGUAGCGGUGAAAUGCGUAGAUAUCUGGGAGAACGCCAGAGGCGAAGGCGGCUCACUGGUGCACAACUGACGCUGAGGCACGAAGGCGUGGGGAGCAAACAGGAUUAGAUACCCUGGUAGUCC